rnacentral:tRNA from 1 species
GGUCCCGUAGUGGAGCGGUUUAACACGCCUGCCUGUCACGCGAGAGAUCGCGGGUUCGAUUCCCGUCGGGACCG